AGAGUUUGAUCCUGGCUCAGGACAAACGCUGGCGGCGUGCCUAACACAUGCAAGUCGAACGGAGGCGAGUCUUCGGACUCGCCUGAGUGGCGGACGGGUGAGUAACACGUGGAUGACGUACCCUGGUGUGGGGGAUACCCUCCAGAAAUGGAGGCUAAUACCGCAUACGAUCACCAUCAUCAAGGGUGGUGAGGAAAGCC
rnacentral:rRNA from 1 species